AGCAGCCGCGGUAAUUCCAGCUCCAAUAGCGUAUAUUAAAGUUGCUGCAGUUAAAAGCUCGUAGUUGAAUUUCGGGACUAAUAUGUCGGUCGUGCCUCGGUACGUACUGGUUUAUUGGUUUCUCCUUUCUGAAGAACCAUGAUGUCAUUUAUUUGGUGUCGUGGGGAAUCAGGACUGUUACUUUGAAAAAUUAGAGUGUUUAAAGCAGGCUCACGCUUGAAUACAUUAGCAUGGAAUAAUGAAAUAGGACGUUUGAUUCUAUUUUGUUGGUUUCUAGGAUCGACGUAAUGAUUAAUAGGGAUAGUUGGGGGCAUUAGUAUUCAAUUGUCAGAGGUGAAAUUCUUGGAUUUAUUGAAGACUAACUACUGCGAAAGCAUUUGCCAAGGAUGUUUUCAUUAAUCAAGAACGAAAGUUAGGGAUCGAAGACGAUCAGAUACCGUCGUAGUCUUAACCAUAAACUAUGCCGACUAGGGAUCGGAUGAUGUUUAAUUUUUAAUGUACUCAUUCGGCGCCUUAAACC
rnacentral:misc_RNA from 1 species